GACGAACGCUGGCGGCGUGCUUAACACAUGCAAGUCGAACGAAGAGCGACGGAAGCUUGCUUCUAUCAAUCUUAGUGGCGAACGGGUGAGUAACGCGUAAUCAACCUGCCCUUCAGAGGGGGACAACAGUUGGAAACGACUGCUAAUACCGCAUACGAUCUAAUCUCGGCAUCGAGGAUGGAUGAAAGGUGGCCUCUACAUGUAAGCUAUCACUGAAGGAGGGGAUUGCGUCUGAUUAGCUAGUUGGAGGGGUAACGGCCCACCAAGGCGAUGAUCAGUAGCCGGUCUGAGAGGAUGAGCGGCCACAUUGGGACUGAGACACGGCCCAGACUCCUACGGGAGGCAGCAGUGGGGAAUCUUCCGCAAUGGACGAAAGUCUGACGGAGCAACGCCGCGUGAGUGAUGACGGCCUUCGGGUUGUAAAGCUCUGUUAAUCGGGACGAAAGGCCUUCUUGCGAAUAGGGAGAAGGAUUGACGGUACCGGAAUAGAAAGCCACGGCUAACUACGUG
rnacentral:rRNA from 1 species